UAUAGCUCAAAAAAGUGAUUAUGAAAAAAUCAAUGUAAUUCAUCAUAUUCAGAAAAUAAAGGAGUAAAGCCAAGUGAUUAUCUCAAUAGCUGUGGACAAAUUAAUUGACGAAAUUUAAUGUUCCUUCCAAAAAAAUCUUUUAACAAAGUGGAAAUUAGAGGGAAUUUCUUUUAUGUGGUAAUGUGCACAUCAAAAACAAAACUUCAGUUAGCGGCACACUGAACACUUUUCUCCGAAGAUCAGGAACUGGAAAAUGAUGUCCAUUGUCUGUACAUGUACUCCACAUUUUACUGGAGCUGGGCUGCUCCUCUGACUCUGAGCAGGUUCUUCCCUCCGGUGACCCCGGGGAAGUAGCUGCAGGAUGCUUGGACACUGAUCGCAGAAGCUACUGUCCCCGGGCCAGGCGCUGCAGGGUCGAGCAGCCGCAGACCCAAAGAGUCCCUACAUUGUGGGGGGCACAUAUGAGGAAAGUGAUACCAGAAGUAGGAGAGGACGCUAGCAAGGAGAGCAACUCCUUGAACCAAAACAGAGGGAGAUGUGGAAGGAGUCCCACAUGUGCCUGAGGGGCAUUUUCUCUGAGGUGAGCCAAGGGUUGGCACCUUUAUCUUCACAUUGAGCUGGUGUGUGCAAGCAAAAAGUGUUGUGAAACCUCAUUUUCCA
rnacentral:lncRNA from 1 species